AGUGAACGCUGGCGGCGUGCCUAAUACAUGCAAGUCGAACGAUGAAGCUUCUAGCUUGCUAGAGUGCUGAUUAGUGGCGCACGGGUGAGUAACGCAUAGGUCAUGUGCCUCUUAGUUUGGGAUAGCCAUUGGAAACGAUGAUUAAUACCAGAUACUCCCUACGGGGGAAAGAUUUAUCGCUAAGAGAUCAGCCUAUGUCCUAUCAGCUUGUUGGUAAGGUAAUGGCUUACCAAGGCUAUGACGGGUAUCCGGCCUGAGAGGGUGAACGGACACACUGGAACUGAGACACGGUCCAGACUCCUACGGGAGGCAGCAGUAGGGAAUAUUGCUCAAUGGGGGAAACCCUGAAGCAGCAACGCCGCGUGGAGGAUGAAGGUUUUAGGAUUGUAAACUCCUUUUGUUAGAGAAGAUAAUGACGGUAUCUAACGAAUAAGCACCGGCUAACUCCGUGCCAGCAGCCGCGGUAAUACGGAGGGUGCAAGCGUUACUCGGAAUCACUGGGCGUAAAGAGCGCGUAGGCGGGAUAGUCAGUCAGGUGUGAAAUCCUAUGGCUUAACCAUAGAACUGCAUUUGAAACUACUAUUCUAGAGUGUGGGAGAGGUAGGUGGAAUUCUUGGUGUAGGGGUAAAAUCCGUAGAGAUCAAGAGGAAUACUCAUUGCGAAGGCGACCUGCUGGAACAUUACUGACGCUGAUUGCGCGAAAGCGUGGGGAGCAAACAGGAUUAGAUACCCUGGUAGUCCACGCCCUAAACGAUGGAUGCUAGUUGUUGGAGGGCUUAGUCUCUCCAGUAAUGCAGCUAACGCAUUAAGCAUCCCGCCUGGGGAGUACGGUCGCAAGAUUAAAACUCAAAGGAAUAGACGGGGACCCGCACAAGCGGUGGAGCAUGUGGUUUAAUUCGAAGAUACACGAAGAACCUUACCUAGGCUUGACAUUGAGAGAAUCCGCUAGAAAUAGUGGAGUGUCUGGCUUGCCAGACCUUGAAAACAGGUGCUGCACGGCUGUCGUCAGCUCGUGUCGUGAGAUGUUGGGUUAAGUCCCGCAACGAGCGCAACCCCCUUUCUUAGUUGCUAACAGGUUAUGCUGAGAACUCUAAGGAUACUGCCUCCGUAAGGAGGAGGAAGGUGGGGACGACGUCAAGUCAUCAUGGCCCUUACGCCUAGGGCUACACACGUGCUACAAUGGGGUGCACAAAGAGAAGCAAUACUGCGAAGUGGAGCCAAUCUUCAAAACAUCUCUCAGUUCGGAUUGUAGGCUGCAACUCGCCUGCAUGAAGCUGGAAUCGCUAGUAAUCGCAAAUCAGCCAUGUUGCGGUGAAUACGUUCCCGGGUCUUGUACUCACCGCCCGUCACACCAUGGGAGUUGUGUUUGCCUUAAGUCAGGAUGCUAAAUUAGCUACUGCCCACGGCACACACAGCGACUGGGGUG
rnacentral:rRNA from 1 species